rnacentral:rRNA from 1 species
UACGAAGGGGGCUAGCGUUGCUCGGAAUCACUGGGCGUAAAGGGUGCGUAGGCGGCCUUUUAAGUCAGUGCUGAAAUACUCUAGCUUAACUAGAGGGGUGGCAUUGAUACUGAAAGGCUUGAGUGAAGUCGAAGUAGGCGGAAUUGACGGUGUAGCGGUGAAAUGCUUAGAUAUCGUCAAGAACACCGAUAGUGAAGACAGCUUACUAGACUUCAACUGACGCUGAGGCACGAAAAGUGUGGGGAGU